rnacentral:rRNA from 1 species
UACGGGGGGAGCAAGCGUUGUUCGGAUUUACUGGGCGUAAAGGGCGCGUAGGCGGCCAGCACAAGUCAGUUGUAGAAAUCUCCGAGCUUAACUCGGAAAGGUCAACUGAUACUGUGCGGCUAGAGUGGCAGAAGGGGCAACUGGAAUUCUUGGUGUAGCGGUGAAAUGCGUAGAUAUCAAGAGGGAACACCUGCGGCGAAGGCGGGUUGCUGGGCUGACACUGACGCUGGAGGCGCGAAAUGCGUGGGGAGCAAACAGG